rnacentral:lncRNA from 1 species
GUAAGUACCCACAUAGUACUUGGCAUGAGACUGUCCUUGCAAAUUAGAAAUACACCUGCAAAUACAUUUUAGAGAUGCUGAAAUUUCUCACUGCAUGAAGCUGACACAUAUUCAAUCAAUUUAGUAUGUUUUGAAGUCAAGAAAAUGCAAUUGCAGGUUCUUUCUUCUUUUUGUGGUGUUCAUGCCAAAGAACCCAGCUGGGUGAGUUUUGGAACAUGGCACUGUGACACCUCGGGGUCCUAUCUGCAGUGUGCCAGCCACACAGACACCUUGCUUGUCAGUUCUUCCCCCCCACCCCUCAACAGCAGUUGCAGUGUUCACAGCUCCCCACUUCUCAGCUAUGGUUCUUUACAGGACAGUUGUCCCAUCAAAGUGAGGAUAAUGCAUAGCAGAUGAAGGGCGUGAUUUCAGUGAACUCUCCGCACAGAUUCCUUCAUCUGCUGCUAUGGCCACAGUGAGGACUGUUUGGAAACUAAAAGGGCCAGCAUCCAAGCUGAAGGUACCAGAGGACAUGGCAGGGGAAGGAAAGAGAAAUCCCAGGAGGUGGUGAUGUCCUUGGCACACCAGAGGCACAGAGGUGACUGCCAUGCAGUGCAGUGCUGAGGUGCUCAUCCCAUCGGAGAGCACAAACAGCAUCAUCUAAACUGCCUGAACAGCUGCUGCUGGCAGCACUUUCCAUGAAAUAUAGAAGUCAUUACCAAGAAAGAGAACUUAAACCACUAAGUUAUUCAUGGGUUAUUUGUGGAAUCUUAGAGUAAGGGAACAGAAAUAAGAAGAAAAAAAAGAAAAACCAGGAACCCUUAGGUUCCUGGAGAGUUCAGUAAAGUUUUAAUAUGUCAUUUUUCUCUGAGCAUAGCCUGC